ACCUGGCUGGCCUAGUCAGUAAAGCAUGCGACUCUUGCUCUUAGGGUUGUGAGUUCAAGUCCCACGUUGGGUG
rfam:Felis catus isolate Cinnamon breed Abyssinian chromosome C2, whole genome shotgun sequence.